GAUGAACGCUAGCGGCAGGCUUAACACAUGCAAGUCGAGGGGUAUAGUUCUUCGGAGCUAGAGACCGGCGCACGGGUGCGUAACGCGUAUGCAAUCUACCUUUUGCAGAGGGAUAGCCCAGAGAAAUUUGGAUUAAUACCUCAUGGUAUGUGAGAAUGGCAUCAUUUUCACAUUAAAGUCACAACGGCAAAAGAUGAGCACGCGUCCCAUUAGCUAGUUGGUAAGGUAACGGCUUACCAAGGCAACGAUGGGUAGGGGUCCUGAGAGGGAGAUCCCCCACACUGGAACUGAGACACGGACCAGACUCCUACGGGAGGCAGCAGUGAGGAAUAUUGGACAAUGGGCGCAAGCCUGAUCCAGCCAUGCCGCGUGCAGGAUGACGGUCCUAUGGAUUGUAAACUGCUUUUGUACAGGAAGAAACACUGGUUCGUGAACCAGCUUGACGGUACUGUAAGAAUAAGGAUCGGCUAACUCCGUGCCAGCAGCCGCCGUAAAAC
rnacentral:rRNA from 1 species